UACAGCCAUACCACGUUGAAACACUGGUUUUCGUAUGACCAGUGAAGUUAAACAACAUCGAGCCUAGUCAAUACUCAAAUGGGUAACUGCCUGGGAAUACCAAUUGCUGUAAG